AAACAAUUUGAUAUCUGACAAUAAAUUUACUGAAAACAAACGGCAUUUUACAGCACCUGUUUAAAUUUUAGGUUAUCUAAAAUGCAUUUGACUGAACUUAAACGAAACCAGUUGAGACUAAUUCUCACCCUUCUCAUGUUUCAAAAACUCUGUUGCACAUUAAGUCCUAUCCACUAUCCUGCUUUGGAGAGCAUUAGUGCCAAAUCACCACUAUUCAAGAUGUAUAUUCAAAUAGCAAAUAUGAGAAACAGAAAGACUAAUGUAAGUCAAAGUAUGAUUAUAACACAUAAGAUAUAUGUUUUAUUUGGAACGAAUAAACAAGCAAACAAAAAGAACGAAGGACUCGCAGAUUGGAGACAAAUUUAACAAAGAGUUUGUGUGAGUCCCCUACAGCUACUGAUUAGAGGUUAUAAAUUAUUAUAUAGAAACAAAAUAUAAUUAUUGAUUUAAAC
rnacentral:lncRNA from 1 species